CUCCGGGGAGAGCCUGGAGGGGCGGGAAGCUGGGCGAGGAGGGUAUGCGGGCCUGCGCUGCGAUCGCGCAGCGUCUGCGUUCUUUCCAGGCGCUUGAUUUUUAGCGACUCCACGAUGCAGACCAAGUAAAGGAAAAGAGAAGACCUUUCUGGGGCCAACGUUCUCUAACGCGUUGACCGCUCACAUUCUGAAAAACCCUUGGACACUUCACCUCCACAGAGAAAGCCCAUCUGGAAGAAAACUAAGACAAGGGCCCUUCAAGGAGUACGGUCUUACUGGAACACUUUCACGCCGAUUGCUCAGGCUCCAAACCUCUAGCCUGUGGCUACUCUACGGGGAGGAGAAAGCCUGCCUUUUGGCUGGAACUGGCUUCCAGACCAUCCUCGGUGCCUCAGGCACCAUGGCUCCUUCCCUCGCUAUCAAGGAGCAAGAAGAGCACUCCCUGGACUUAACACCGCUCACUCCAGAUUUCCCCACCAGUGUUUCAGGUAAAAACUGAAAAUGGAGUGGGCCCAGGUGGAAUAUAAUUCAAUAUUUAAGUUUGUUGGUUUAAGAUAGACCUUUAAAGUUAUGAGCACUAAAUGUAAAACUUUUAUCCUACCAAGAAUAAACCACAACCACUAAAGUCCUAGAAGCUAAGGCAUUACCAGCUGGAUGGUCAGCUCAACGGGCUGAAUUAUAUGCCUUAGUGCGAGCCCUCACCCUUGGUGAAGGCAAAUGAGUCAACAUCUACACUGACUCUCGGCACGCCUUCGCUACGUACAUAUACACGGAGCCACCUACAAGGAAAGGGGCCUCCUAACCGCCACAGGAAAAACUAUCAAGAACAAGGAGGAGAUACUGAGACUCCUUGAAGCCGUCUGGCUUCCAAAGGAAGCAGCAAUCCUGCACUGUAAGGAACACCAGAAAGGAGAUGACCCCAUAGCGCGGGGAAAUCAUCUGGCAGAUGAGGCAGCCAAGACCUCAGCCAGUGAGGACACAGACAGAGCCCCUUCCCUCACCAUGGCCCUGACACCCCCGGAAGAAGUCCCCCCGCCCAGUUAACACUGAAAAGGAAAAAGAACAGGCCGUGGCUGAGGGAGCCACCCGGACUGAAAAGGGAUGGUGGAUGAUGCCAG